CCUACGGGAGGCAGCAGUGAGGAAUAUUGGUCAAUGGCCGAGAGGCUGAACCAGCCAAGUCGCGUGAGGGAAGACGGCCCUACGGGUUGUAAACUUCUUUUGUCUGGGAGUAAAGAGAGUCACGUGUGCCCCAUUGUGAGUACCCGAAGAAAAAGCAUCGGCUAACUCCGUGCCAGCAGCCGCGGUAAUACGGAGGAUGCGAGCGUUAUCCGGAUUUAUUGGGUUUAAAGGAUGCGCAGGAGGAGGUGCAAGUCAGCGGUCAAAUUGUGGGGCUCAACCCCGUACUGCCGUUGAAACUGCAUCCCUUGAGUGCGCGAGAGGUGUGCGGAAUGCGUGGUGUAGCGGUGAAAUGCAUAGAUAUCACGCAGAACUCCGAUUGCGAAGGCAGCAUACCGGCGCGCAACUGACGCUGAUGCACGAAAGCGUGGGUAUCGAACAGGAUUAGAUACCCUAGUAGUC
rnacentral:rRNA from 1 species